rnacentral:rRNA from 1 species
AAGACCUUGCGCUUUUGGAGCGGCCGAUGCCUGAUUAGCUAGCUGGUGGGGUAAUGGCCUACCAAAGCUUCGAUCAGUAGCUGGUCUGAGAGGACGGCCAGCCACACUGGGACUGAGACACGGCCCAGACUCCUACGGGAGGCAGCAGUGGGGAAUUUUGGACAAUGGGCGCAAGCCUGAUCCAGCCAUGCCGCGUGAGUGAAGAAGGCCCUCGGGUUGUAAAGCUCUUUCAGCCGGGAAGAAAAGGUUGCGAUUAAUAAUCGCAAUUUAUGACGGUACCGGAAGAAGAAGCACCGGCUAACUACGUGCCAGCAGCCGCGGUAAUACGUAGGGUGCGAGCGUUAAUCGGAAUUACUGGGCGUAAAGGGUGCGCAGGCGGUUUUGUAAGUCAGAUGUGAAAUCCCCGGGCUUAACCUGGGAACU